rnacentral:misc_RNA from 1 species
GGGUUAAAUAGGUUGAACUGGCUUAUAUGAGUAUUUUGUGGCCAACACAUCCUCAACUUAGAACAUUUACAAAACUAUUAUUAUAUAUCAAUUCAUAUGUUGUUUAUUUGAUUCUUUAGUAUCUUUAAUGUGUUAAUGCACAUGAUUUUAUAGAUUUUAUGACAUAAAUCAUACAUUCAAAAAUAUGGAAGAAGUACAAUAAAUGUGAAUUAUUUUUGAAGAAUUUCUGUAAGCAUUGGUGUAAGAAUAUGAGACUUCCUUGGGUGCGCUGAUUAAGUUUUUAGAACUUAAAAUGCUCAACUUAAUUUUUCUAUUAUUCUUUCAGAUUCGGACAUUAGGAAUGUUG